GGGGAAUUUUGGACAAUGGGGGAAACCCUGAUCCAGCCAUACCGCGUGAGUGAAGAAGGCCUUCGGGUUGUAAAGCUCUUUCAGCCGGAAAGAAAUCGUGCAGGCUAAUACCCUGUAUGGAUGACGGUACCGGAAGAAGAAGCACCGGCUAACUACGUGCCAGCAGCCGCGGUAAUACGUAGGGUGCGAGCGUUAAUCGGAAUUACUGGGCGUAAAGCGUGCGCAGGCGGCUUUUUAAGCCAGAUGUGAAAUCCCCGGGCUUAACCUGGGAACUGCAUUUGGAACUGGAAGGCUAGAGUGUAGCAGAGGGGGGUAGAAUUCCACGUGUAGCAGUGAAAUGCGUAGAUAUGUGGAGGAAUACCGAUGGCGAAGGCAGCCCCCUGGGUUAACACUGACGCUCAUGCACGAAAGCGUGGGGAGCAAAC
rnacentral:rRNA from 1 species